rnacentral:rRNA from 1 species
GAUGAACGCUGGCGGCGUGCCUAAUACAUGCAAGUCGAGCGAACAGACGAGGAGCUUGCUCCUCUGACGUUAGCGGCGGACGGGUGAGUAACACGUGGAUAACCUACCUAUAAGACUAGGAUAACUUCGGGAAACCGGAGCUAAUACCGGAUAAUAUAUUGAACCGCAUGGUUCAAUAGUGAAAGACGGUUUUGAUGUCACUUAUAGAUGGAUCCGCGCCGCAUUAGCUAGUUGGUAAGGUAACGGCUUACCAAGGCAACGAUGCGUAGCCGACCUGAGAGGGUGAUCGGCCACACUGGAACUGAGACACGGUCCAGACUCCUACGGGAGGCAGCAGUAGGGAAUCUUCCGCAAUGGGCGAAAGCCUGACGGAGCAACGCCGCGUGAGUGAUGAAGGUCUUCGGAUCGUAAAACUCUGUUAUUAGGGAAGAACAAAUGUGUAAGUAACUAUGCACGUCUUGACGGUACCUAAUCAGAAAGCCACGGCUAACUACGUG